rnacentral:lncRNA from 1 species
GUCAUCCUCAAGAGGCUCUUCAUGAGAAAGACUAACCGCCCGCCGCUCUCCAUGCGCCGCCUCUCCAACUUCAUGAAGGGAAAGGUAUGUGCACCCAUACUUUGCCGUGAGACAUUACUGUCUGUUUGCUCGUAAUCUAGUUGUAAGGUUCCCAAUUAUGAAUUAACCAUGCUAAUACUGAUACUAUUUGACGAGCAAUAUAUUAUUACUGAGGGAACCAUUUACUUAGUGCUGCUUUUUUGACUUCCAAAAACAAUGAAUUAACAUUUGAUUUGCUUAAUUUUUCUCAUUUUAGCUUACGAAUCUCUUGUCUGUGUAUUUGUUGCUGCCAAAAGGGAUCUGGAUAGGUUGCAACUGGGAGUAAAAUAUGCGUCCAAACUGAUCGUCUGGUGCGAAAAUCGACGACCAAGAUCCACUUCAGCUUGGUAGUGACCUGUGAGAGAUCUGUGGUGGUAAGCGGCACGUGUCUGAUCCCUGGGCAUCGGUUCAUUUCUGAUGUUUGAUCCUGGCUGUCGGUUGCCUGUCGGGAUGGCGGAUUCUUUUCGGUUGUUAUGGUAGGGAACCCCUUCGUCCCUAACUUCAGUAUGCAAACUGAUUAUCUAUCUUUUGCAAACUGAUUAUCUAUCUAGAAAAUGUUGCAGUUGUGGUACUACGUGAUCUUACUAAUGCUGUCUUUUUUUACUCUUGUAAACUGAGCCCUUGCGUUGCGUCUGCAAGAAGUAGUGCUACUGCUUGUUCAUAAUGGCUGAUUGCUUGCUGAAUCUUGUUCUGCAAACUGAGAAGAUUUAGAAUGAUGCAUUUCCGCUGCGAGUGAUUUCUUCAGUCUGACCUGAUUAGUAAGUGCUUGUACUAAUCUCUGCCAUGUGUUUGUAACAGUGCAAGUUUGGCUUCCAGAUGAGAUCUGGCUUUCAGAUUCUUCUGAAACUGAACGCAUCUAUGUUUGGCCAUUUGUACUACAUCUUUCUGAACCGAACACUGCCAUGUUUGGCAAACUGAUGAUACGUGUAUCUUUGUUGAACUCUGGUUAUCUGCAAGUAGUAGUGCUCCUCUUUUGGUUUCCUUUGUUGCUUUAUGCAUAAGAAUAGGCUGAUAAGAACAGAACAUUGAUACUUUGCAUGCUAUUAGCUGAAUGGAUGGCUCUGGUAGUAGAAUGGUAUUAUUGUUUAGGUGCAAUUUGGUGUAGUGAAGUUUUUUGCACGACUCGCACUUGUCAAAAGCAUGAUUGUAUUGUGAGCCAAUAAUUUCUUGGAGUCUUCUUAGAGCUUGCUGGCAUUAGGAUCGACCCCUAGCUGCUUGUGUAUUUGUUUAUUAUUUUGUUCAAUAUUCUUUUCCUAGCUGUUGUAUGUUUGAGG